GAGCUUCAAACUUCUACAUUAAAUUAAUUAUACAUAAUGUAGUAUUUUAAGUUGGGGCGACUGUGGAGUAAAAAAAAACCUCCAUGAAUACACGACUAACCCUCGUCACAAAAGGCUAACAAGCCCAAUCGAAAAGUUUGACCCAAUCAUAUUGAAUACCGAACCAAGUUACCCCAGGGAUAACAGCGCCAUCCCCUUAAAGAGUUCACAUCGCCAGG
rnacentral:rRNA from 1 species